GGGUUAGUAGGUUGGUCAUGCCUCUGGUAUGUACUGGUCUCACUGAUUCCUCCUUCCUGAUGAGCCGCCAUGCCCUUAAUUGGGUGUCGCGGGGAACCAGGACCUUUACUUUGAAAAAAUUAGAGUGUUUAAAGCAGGCAUUUUGCUUGAAUACAUUAGCAUGGAAUAAUAAAAUAGGACGGCAUGAUUCUAUUUUGUUGGUUUCUAGGAUCACCGUA
rnacentral:rRNA from 1 species